CUACGGGGUGCAGCAGUGAGGAAUAUUGCGCAAUGGGGGAAACCCUGACGCAGCGACGCCGCGUGGAUGAUGAAGGCCUUCGGGUCGUAAAAUCCUGUCAGAAGGAAAGAAGUGUAUGGUAGCUAAUAUCUGCCAUACUUGACGGUACCUUCAAAGGAAGCACCGGCUAACUCCGUGCCAGCAGCCGCGGUAAUACGGAGGGUGCAAGCGUUGUUCGGAAUUACUGGGCGUAAAGCGCGCGUAGGCGGUUUUAUAAGUCAGAUGUGAAAGUCCACGGCUCAACCAUGGAAGUGCAUUUGAAACUGUAAGACUUGAGUAUUGGAGGGGGUAGUGGAAUUCCCGGUGUAGAGGUGAAAUUCGUAGAUAUCGGGAGGAAUACCGGUGGCGAAGGCGACUAUCUGGCCAAAUACUGACGCUGAGGUGCGAAAGCGUGGGGAGCAAACAGGAUUAGAUACCCCAGUAGUC
rnacentral:rRNA from 1 species